rnacentral:lncRNA from 1 species
GCUAAGUGGAGUAACAAGAAAAGUACUUAUACAGAUAAAGAGUUGUCUGAGCCAAGAAGCAAUGGGCUUAGCUGAGUUCAUAAAUGAUGGUGUUUUGUAUUGAAUGCUGGAGUUUCUGAAGACCCCUUCAGCCAACUAGAUGAACAGAGAACUGGAGUAAUCAAGACACUUCGUUAAAGCCGAAUGACAAGUCUGUUGCAGAACUCAGACUUGUAGUUUUGCAGACUUUCAGUCAGACAUCUCAGUGCUUUAGAAGCAGGUACUCUUAACAUCCUGAAAACUGCAGGC